rnacentral:rRNA from 1 species
CCUACGGGAGGCAGCAGUGGGGAAUAUUGGGCAAUGGGCGCAAGCCUGACCCAGCAACGCCGCGUGAAGGAAGAAGGCUUUCGGGUUGUAAACUUCUUUUCUGAGGGACGAAGAAAGUGACGGUACCUGGGGAGGAAGCUCCGGCAAACUACGUGCCAGCAGCCGCGGUAAUACGUAGGGAGCAAGCGUUGUCCGGAAUUACUGGGUGAAAAGGGAGCGUAGGCGGGGAUGCAAGUUGGGUGUAAAAACUACCGGCUAAACCGAGAGUCGCACUAAAAACUGCAACUCUUGAGUGAAGUAGAGGCAGGCGGAAUUCCUAGUGUAGCGGUGAAAUGCGUAGAUAUUAGGAGGAACACCAGUGGCGAAGGCGGCCUGCUGGGCUUUUACUGACGCUGAGGCUCGAAAGUGUGGGGAGCAAACAGGAUUAGAUACCCUAGUAGUC